rnacentral:rRNA from 1 species
CCGGAGUGGACGAACCUCUGGUGUACCGGUUGUCACGCCAGUGGCAUCGCCGGGUAGCUAUGUUCGGAAGAGAUAACCGCUGAAAGCAUCUAAGCGGGAAACUCGCCUUAAGAUGAGAUAUCCCUGGAGGCUAGACCUCCUUGAAGGGUCGUUCGAGACCAGGACGUUGAUAGGUCGGGUGUGUAAGCGCAGUAAUGCGUUCAGCUAACCGAUACUAAUUGCCCGUAAGGCUUGAUCCU